rnacentral:rRNA from 1 species
UACGGAGGAUGCGAGCGUUAAUCGGAAUUACUGGGUGUAAAGGGAGCGUAGACGGUAAUGUAAGUCUGGAGUGAAAGGCGGGGGCCCAACCCCCGGACUGCUCUGGAAACUAUGUUACUAGAGUGCAGGAGAGGUAAGCGGAAUUCCUAGUGUAGCGGUGAAAUGCGUAGAUAUUAGGAGGAACACCAGUGGCGAAGGCGGCUUACUGGACUGUAACUGACGUUGAGGCUCGAAAGCGUGGGGAGCAAACAGG